CUUUCUUUUCUUUUUUAAGUAUUAAUUUUAAAAAAUUUAUUUGAUACAAUAAAAUAUUCAACUCCAUCCAUCAGACCUUUCCCCUGAUUAGAGAAAGCAUCAUUUCACCUAUUAUAUAUAAUAUGUAAUAAAUAUGUAUAUAAUUUCUAUUAAUCAGUUGUUUCCUGGGGGAUGGACAUAUACAAGUCAUUCUUCAAACAAUAUUUCUGUGAUUGUAUAUAAUGUUUUCCUGUUUCUGCUCAUUUCACUCUUCAUAAUUUCAUGUAGGUCUUUCCAUUUGUUUCCCCAAAAUUAACCUGUUUAUCAUUUCUUAAAAUACAGUCUUAUUCCAUCACAUUCAUAUGCCACAAUUAGCUUAGCCAUUCCCUAAGAAUCGGCAACCCUUCUCUUCCUAGUUCUUUGCCAACACAAAAGAGAUCUGCUAUUUAAAUUUAUAAUUAAUUUUACAUAUUCUUUUCAAGCUUGUCCUACUUGAAAGGAAAUUCUGUCACCACAAAUGUUUUCCUUGAGAUGCUGCAUGAUUGAAAAUUUUGUAACACUACAAUCUCUGAGUAAACAAGUGAUGUGUUUCCCAAAGGGCAAUAGGGCAAAAACACGUGAAGGGUACAAACAGGCUAGAUUAUAUUUCUAAUGUUGACCUAAGGUUCAAGAGUUGUAAGAGGGAUGUUAUUAAUAUUAUUCAGCAGGUAUAUUUCAUGAAAAUAAGUUGGGGCAGUCAUAUGGAAAGAGUUAAGAAUAACAAGUGGGCAGCUUAAAUAUUCCCAUUGGUAGUCACAAUAUAUCAAGAGACCUAGAAGAUUUUUUGAUGCAUACAUUUCUAUAUAUACAAAUGUAUAUAUAUUAGACUAAAUUAGAUUUUGUAUAUUGAACUUGAGUCUAUUAAAGAUUUCUUUUAAGUUCUAAAGAUCUGGAAUCUUUAGGAUUAUGUUUUAGUUAACUGAGCUAUCCCAUAAAGAAAAAAAAAAUUAACUUUGCCAAGAACCUUGAACAAAGGCCAACUACAAAAGCAUGUGGCUCCAUGUAAUUUAAGAUAAUAAAUUUAGAUUUAAAUGUGCAUUCCCUAUUAUUUAAAGAUGCUUUCCCUUAAAAUAAAACAAAUAAAUUGUUGUAUCAGCUGUGUGAGCAUGUGCUGGUAACAUAUAAAAUCUUUUUUUUAAAAACCUUUGUUCAGAGAUCUGAGUCUAUCAGAAGACUUGGUUGUUUUUUUUUUAAACUGUACUUGACAUCUUGCAGUUUUUUAGUAAAUCUAUUUUUUGUUUGUUUGUUUCCUAAUAUAUAAAAUAAAAUCAUAAUAUGGUAAGUCAAUAAUUUAAAAAUUGUUUUGAUUAUGAAGACCCCAAUGAUUUGGUUAUACAGAAUAAUUGGUAAAAACAAUUGAUGGAACUGUGCCUUAUUUUUAUUGAAUUUUAGAUGCUGCCUAAGGCAAUAUUAUAGGGAGGAAAGAGAGUCAACUUUAAUGAAGUUGGUUACAUAUUCAAGUCCUGCCUCUAAUAAAUAUUGACUGUGAUACCUACCAUAGGUAAGUCUCUUGACCUAUCAGUGUUCUAGGCAAUUUUCUACAUUUAUAAGUUGCUGAGAAAGUGCUGAGCUGUUUUGGUAUAUGGAAUUUGCUUUCUAUAAAGUUCUUUGAGCAAAAAACAAAAAAAUAAAGGAAAAAACAAGUCAACUCCCUUCAAGUAACUAUCAUGCAAUCUGAUGCUAAAUGGAAGACCUUUCAAAUCAAAAUGUUUAAUUCACUCAACACAAGAAGACAUGGACUAUUGUUAUGUUUAAUUAUUGCUUUUAAACUUAUACUUUCUAUCUGAGAAGUGAUGCUGUAUGUCUCUGGGAUAGAGUGGCAAAUGACAGAGUGGUGAUUAUGGAGACCAAAAGGAAAGCUAAAGGAUAUUCUUUCACUUCCAGAAUCAGUUCUUUACAAGCAGAUGGUGUGGAGUUAUAUAAUAUGCAGUAAUGUCCUUCAAAUAUCCAGAGCUCUCUAUUAAGGACAAAAGUUACCAGAUUACUGAAGAGGGAGACUAAUUCUCAGGAUCUAAAUUGCCAUUGGGGUGUUCUAGUGGAAUUCUAGAGCUCCAAAUAUCAUUCAAUGUGUUCCUAAUCUGAGAGACAAUAAAGCAGACAGAUGUAUGCCUGGGUGAAAAAAAGAACAAGGAUUUUUCUAUUCUUGACCUGAUUCUGGAAAAUAAGAAAAAGUUGAUUGCUGACACAGAAAAAAAGAACAGUGAGCAAGUGAGCAUUCCAUCACAGGGUCAUUGACUGAGGAGGAAAGGAAAACCAUUCAUGAGAACAAGUGCACUAGAUUUUUAUAUACCUAAUAGAAAGUGGUUCAAAGGAAAGAUAGAAUUCAGUGGCCUACUUCUCUAGAUAAAAGGAGAAUCAUGUAAAUUACAUUGCUCUCAGUGGUUGGGUUGCUGAUACUGGUAACAGACAGUUAUGUUGAGACUGAACCGUUCAACUCUCACUUUUCUUUUGACAUUUUGAAUAAGAAGAAAACAGCCCCCAAGAAAAGACUUGGAAGACCAUUAUAACUGUCUCCACCACUCAAAAGACUGCUAUGGAAAUUAUCAGACUUGAUCUCUGUGACUGAACUAAGAAAAAGGGAAGAGCAGACAAGAAGAAUGAGGGCCUGAGCCCAAACUACUAUAAACAUCCCUAUAUCACCCUCAUCACAAAGGAUUCCUGAGGUUGGUCUGACUCUUAGAGAACAACUUGAGUCUUGCUACAAGAGUAUAAAACUCUGGAAAAAUUUUGCCGUUUCCCAAUUUAGAGACAGUGCUAUCAUGAAAAAACAAGGCCAAAUGCCUGGGCAAAACCAGAAGGAAUGUGGCAACAGCAGGAUUGGAGCCAGAGAAGCAAGAGGGCACACAUUCUUUUUAUUGGGUAAGUAGUAGCUAGUUGUGAAAGAUCCAUUGGGUAAUGACUGAAGUUUGUUGCAUUCAUGUAGGCCUAGAAUGAAUUUUUUUUUCUUACUAAGUGAAAGAAAUAUAAAGUUUCAAUUCCUUCAAGGCUCUGGGCUUAUGACUACUAAUAAAACAACCAAGUAAUGAUUCUUGAUGAAUUAGAAAUGGCCAAGGAUUAAUAAGAAAAGAAGUGGGUAGGAAGAAAGGUUUUUUCAACCACUGAAAAUAACUUUAUUAUUCAUGGUGCUGUAAUCCCUACUCACCCUUAUUUUCCAUCAUUAAUUAAAGUUUUUUGGCUCAUCAGUUUUGGCAUAUUGGACUUCAGAUAUUGUUCUGUAUCUUUUCAGUCAUAUCUGACUCUUUGUGGUACCUUUUUAGGGGGUCUUCUUCGUAGAGAUAUGGAAAUAAUUUGCAUUUUCCUCUCUAUAGCUCAUUUUACAUAUGGGGAAAGUGAGGCAAACAAUAUUAAAUGACUUGCCCAGGAUCACACAGCUACUAAGUGUCUGAGCCCUGAUUUGAACUCAGAUCUUCCUGAUUCCAGGCCUAUUGUUCUAUCCACUGCACUACCUAGCAGUCUGUAGCUAAACAAUCACAGAGUGGUGUUAGAGGUAAAAAUUGAGAGGUUUUAUAUAAAAGGUUGGACUGGAUUAUUUAAGAAUAAGGUUCCCAGGAGUUUAAUUAAUUCCAAAGAGAUUUACUUUAACAAUUUAUUUCUAAAAUAUAGAAAAAAUUUAAGUAAGAAAAUUAGAGAGAGGAUAGGAUAAGAUAUGCAGCCUAAGCACUAAGUAUUUGCUCUGACCCCUGGCUCAACCCAGGCAGGGUUAAUUAGCCUUCAACUGGAGGGGCCUUGGCUUUGAGUGGAGGACCUGAAGAUUCAGGGAGCCUCUCUAAAGAGGGUAGGUCUCUCUUGAGACUAGUCUCUUCAGAAUUCCAGGAAAAGAGUCAGGUUUUUUUUUCAUGCACCACAUGUCAGUCAAAAGGGAGAGAUUUAAGAACAGUCACACCAAGUCCAAGGUCUUAGCUCCAGUAAGCAGAUUCUUUACGAGCCUACAACUCGAACUCAGAACUCCAGAAGAAAUCCCCACAGAAAGUUGUAAUUCCUUUUUCAAGACACUCCUUUUGCUUCACUUUCUGUGCCUGCCCCCACUUUUACAUGUACCAAUUACAGCUCAAGCUUUGCUUAGGACUGCACAGGGGGCAGUCAGUCAAUUCUGAUUCAUCACCCAUAAGUGGGUCACUGAUCUCUCCCACUCAAGUUUAAAGUAGAGUGUUUACAUUUCUGGUGAUUAACUCUAGAAAUUGGGCAGGGGAGAGUUAAUUUAAUUUUCAUGAUCAGGGGAGAAUUAAUUUAAUCUUUUUUUUUUUUUGAUUAAACCCUUACCUUCCUUCUUGGAGUCAAUACUGUGUAUUGGCUCCAAGGCAGAAGAGUGGUAAGGGCUAGGCAAUGGGGGUCAAGUGACUUGCCCAGGGUCACACAGCUGCGAACGUGUCUGAGGCCAGAUUUGAACCUAGGACCUCUCAUCUCUAGGCCUGGCUCUCAAUCCACUGAGCCACCCAGAUGCCCCCCAGAAUUAAUUUAAUCUUCACAAUCAGGGGAGAGUUUAUUUCAUUUUCACAAUCAGGAGAGAGUUCAUUUAAUCUUCAAAGUGGUAUGUGAUUUUGAUGACCUUACAUUUGUCAUUUUAUAGUGAGUAGUAUGGUGAGGACUUCUUGGGGUGAUUGUUGGACUUCUAAUGAACAAAAUUCCACCAAUGCUGGUUUAAUGGUUUUCUACUUCCUGCUACAGGAAUAUGGCAAAUAUUAUUUGCCCAAAAGAGUCCUCCAGUUUCAACUAGUGUUCCUAUUCCAAUUGCCAUCAUGAAUCCCAUCUCCUCAUAUUUUCUCUUUUUAUUGAGGUUUCCACUAUAUCCCGUCCUUUCUACUUCUACUUCAAUAUUUCAGUAUUUUUAUGAAUAUAUCAGUGUGAGGACUUGCUCCAAUCACAAUCUAGCCUCUUCUCAAUGUGGGUGCUUCUUGGGUCCUUUUAAUCAUUUGUAGAGAAUCUACCCAAUGUGCUUCUCCUAGCUCUUUUCAUUCAUUGGUUCUAGUGCAAGAUGGUGAUUGUCAUCAAUCCAUCAGUACGGUAGUACCAAUGAUGACUUCUUCGGAAGAAGUGGGUAUAUGUCACAUACAAUCAAUAACGUCAAAUUGUUAUAGAUAGCCAAUU